GACGAACGCUGGCGGCGUGCUUAACACAUGCAAGUCGAGCGGUAAGGCCCUUUCGGGGGUACACGAGCGGCGAACGGGUGAGUAACACGUGGGUGACCUGCCCUCAGCUCUGGGAUAAGCCUGGGAAACCGGGUCUAAUACCGGAUAUGACUCCAUGACGCAUGUUGUGGGGUGGAAAGCCUUGUGCGGCUGAGGAUGGGCCCGCGGCCUAUCAGCUUGUUGGUGGGGUGAUGGCCUACCAAGGCGACGACGGGUAGCCGGCCUGAGAGGGCGACCGGCCACACUGGGACUGAGACACGGCCCAGACUCCUACGGGAGGCAGCAGUGGGGAAUCUUGCGCAAUGGGCGAAAGCCUGACGCAGCGACGCCGCGU
rnacentral:rRNA from 1 species